UACAGAGGGGGGCAAGCGUUGUUCGGAAUUACUGGGCGUAAAGGGCUCGUAGGCGGCCAACUAAGUCAGACGUGAAAUCCCUCAGCUUAACUGGGGAACUGCGUCUGAUACUGGAUGGCUUGGAUUCGGGAGAGGAAUGCGGAAUUCCAGGUGUAGCGGUGAAAUGCGUAGAUAUCUGGAGGAACACCGGUGGCGAAGGCGGCAUUCUGGACCGAUAUUGACGCUGAGGAGCGAAAGCCAGGGGGAGCAAAGCGGG
rnacentral:rRNA from 1 species